AGCGACAGACAGGAGCUCUGCUCCUCGACGUCGCGGCGGACGGGUGAGUAACACGUGGGUAACCUACCUAUAAGACUGGGAUAACUUCGGGAAACCGGAGCUAAUGCCGGAUAAUACCACGAACCGCAUGGUUCGAUAGUGAAAGAUGGUUCCCGCUAUCACUUAUAGAUGGACCCGCGCCGUAUUAGCUAGUUCGGUAAGGUAACGGCUUACCAAGGCGACGAUACGUAGCCGACCUGAGAGGGUGAUCGGCCACACUGGAACUGAGACACGGUCCAGACUCCUACGGGAGGCAGCAGUAGGGAAUCUUCCGCAAUGGGCGAAAGCCUGACGGAGCAACGCCGCGUGAGUGAUGAAGGUCUUCGGAUCGUAAAACUCUGUUAUUAGGGAAGAACAUACGUGUAAGUAACUAUGCACGUCUUGACGGUACCUAAUCAGAAAGCCACGGCUAACUACGUGCCAGCAGCCGCGGUAAUACGUAGGUGGCAAGCGUUAUCCGGAAUUAUUGGGCGUAAAGCGCGCGUAGGCGGUUUUUUAAGUCUGAUGUGAAAGCCCACGGCUCAACCCGUGGAGGGUCAUUGGAAACUGGAAAACUUGAGUGCAGA
rnacentral:rRNA from 1 species